GACGAACGCUGGCGGCGUGCCUAAUACAUGCAAGUCGAGCGGACUUUCAAGAAGCUUGCUUUUUGAAAGUUAGCGGCGGACGGGUGAGUAACACGUGGGCAACCUGCCUGCAAGACGGGGAUAACUCCGGGAAACCGGGGCUAAUACCGGAUAAUAUCUUCCUUCGCAUGAAGGAAGGUUGAAAGGCGGCGCAAGCUGCCGCUUGCAGAUGGGCCCGCGGCGCAUUAGCUAGUUGGUGAGGUAACGGCUCACCAAGGCGACGAUGCGUAGCCGACCUGAGGGGGUGAUCGGCCACACUGGGACUGAGACACGGCCCAGACUCCUACGGGAGGCAGCAGUAGGGAAUCUUCCGCAAUGGACGAAAGUCUGACGGAGCAACGCCGCGUGAGCGAAGAAGGUCUUCGGAUCGUAAAGCUCUGUUGUCAGGGAAGAACAAGUACCGUUCGAACAGGGCGGUACCUUGACGGUACCUGACCAGAAAGCCACGGCUAACUACGUG
rnacentral:rRNA from 1 species